GUGCUGUUGCUGCCCUAGGUACGCCAAGGAACAGAGGAGGGCAGGUAUCUUCUGGCCAGCCUCCGGAGUCAAAUCAAGAUUUGAGGUACCCUGAGGAGGCUCUUACCCAAAGCUUAGAAACGGCAACACCGAAGCACACGCGGAGAACAUCUCAACGUCCACGUGCGACCGAGGAUGGAUUUUGUCCGCUCCUCUUCCAAAAGCUAAGUGUCGGGGCCAGUGGUUUGGAGAAGGGGAAAAACCUUUACUAUCACAGGGGGCAAUUUCAUGUCAGCUUAGCGGAGAGGUCUGUAUCGGGACAGGCUCUCUGGAAGUAAAGGGAGAGGGUUUCUCCUCAGCCUCACCAGAGCCUUUGCCGGGCAGGGCAGUUCCAACCCAUCUCCACGUUCUCGGGAACUUUGCGUUGUCCGCCUUCCUCGGCCCGACGUCGUCACGGAUCUUUUCCCCGAGGAGCUCGCCUUCAGGUCCGGAGCUACGGCCACGGUCACCCGGCAGUCGGCUUCCUUCUCUAGGCUCGCUGAGCCUCUCGAGCAUCCUCUUAACUGCUUUGGCACUAACUUCUUUUAAGGAGUUAUGUUUCAUCAUCACGUGCCAUCAUCAUAGGGCUUUCUUUCCUUUGGCAUCAUCGGCCUCUGGCUCAUCUUGCGCUAUGAAUCUCGGGUCCAUAAGUUGAAAGUGCUAGGCAGUUUACUCGUGUCUCUGUUAUGCCAUCCGUGUCUAUGUUGUGUCA